ACGAUGCCCGCCUACUGGCGCCCUAGCAACCGGGUUGCGAACCAUGUUCUAUCCCGACUAAGUGGCCGUCCUGGGAGUUAUAGUGCCACUAGCCGGCCUCGGCUGUUCCCUGUCCGAGGCUCUUGUCAUUUCCGCUUAUUUCCUCCACGGGUGCCGAUUUCAUGUGUGUGUUCCCGAGUGCCUGAGCCGGCUCCCGAAAUGAGUACUCGUGGUUUCCGCGUGGGAACCAACCUCGAGCGCCAGUGGCCCGCCCUCUCCGGGCUGAGGUGGCUGCUGAGGCUGGGGCUGCUCCUGAGGCUUCAGGGCCGCCCGCUGCACGGCUUUCUACCUUCCCAGGUUAGCCGCGGUCAACUUCUGCCAGGCGGAGCGAGAAAUCGCAUUUUGUCAGGGGCUGCAGCAUGCUGAAAGAAAACAGAAGCCUGUGGAGUGAGCCAAGAUCAACCAGGAAAUAAACCCUUUCCCUUGCGAUGUCUCUCCAGCGCCCUCUACUGACAAACCUGCUUUAGUGCCAGUUUGUAGAGAGACAGUUGGAUUUUUUUCCUGUUUCUGGUUAAUUGCUAAAAUCUACAGUGUGCUGAAGGUGGAGUAAAGUAUUUCCCCAAAGGAUUCCAAGCACAUCUCCCUUGCCCUUGAAUAUCUGUAUAUCUAUAUGAACAUCAAUUGAGAUAUAUAUGUGUGUGCCCCUAAUUACAUAAUUUUAAGCAUAUAUAUAAAAAUGUAAAAUCUCAUUGUCUGGCCUCAGUUUGUAUGACACAAAAUACUGAUUGUAUGGAAGAAAACAGAUUGGGAAACAGAUUUAUUCUAUAUCAUAUUUUCCUGAAAAGCUACCUUAAAAAGAUUUAAAUUAAAGCAAUUAGAGCAAGGGAGGCACAUUUCUUUAAAAAAUUAAAGUUGAGUACCAUACUGGUUUUUCAGAUGAAAUUUUCUUUUCCUUUUUCUCCUUCAUAUUGCUCAGAGCAUCUAAUUCCAUCAGAACUAUUGUCAAAUAAAUUUUAUGUAAAAUGUGUAUUUUUCUAAUGGGAGUUGAUUAUACAAACUGUAUUACACCUUUGUAUCUGAGUGAUCAUUUAAAAAUGCAUAUUGGUUUAGCACAUAGAGUUUAUGAAAUGCCAGAUAAUGCUCUUAUUCCUCAGUGAAAUCUGCACAUUUCUAGUUGUUGGUGGUCUAUUUCUGUUUGCUGUUCCUUGGAGGGGGGCUGAGAAUGUUCAAGUUUGACUUAGCUGUGUUUAAGUAAUAAAUCUUUGGAGUCAAUU
rnacentral:lncRNA from 1 species